UCCCACCUCAACCUUCCAAAAUGCUAGUUUUUAUUUUCUUUUGCAACAUAUACAAGACGUUCUGCUUGCUUUAAUAUUCCACAGUAGUUUAGACCUUGGGUUCUGCAUUUUAAUUCUACCAGUCAUAAACUGAACAACUUACCAAAAUAGUUUGAAACAUUAACCCAAUUAAUUACCGACGUUAGUACAAAACUAUUUUCUUUUAAAAAAAAAAAAAAUACCCAGUGAUACUGGGUAUCUAGUAUCUGGGAAAAGAAGUCAUUAUAUGAUAAAGACACACACACACACG
rnacentral:lncRNA from 1 species